CUUUCACCUCCCGCCGUGAUUCUGAGGCCUCCCCAGCCAUGUGGAAUUUGCCUGUUGCUUCCCACCAUGAUUCUGAGGCCUCACUACCUAUGUGGAACUGUAAGUCCAAUUAAACCUCUUUUUAUUCCCAGUCUUGGGUAUGGCUUUAUCAGCAGCAUGAAAAUGAAAUAAUACAGUGAGGAAACAUCUCUGUCUCCUUCCAGGCCAAGUUUAGUGUUCUUUUUCUUAUGCUUCCAUAGUGCAACUUGACACAUUUAAAUAAUCUAAAAUUAUAGCACUGAGUU
rnacentral:lncRNA from 1 species